UAAUUUGACUCAACGCGGGAAAUCGAUACCAGGGCAGAACAUAGUGAGGAAAGACAGAUUGCAGAUCUUUCUUGAUUCUGUGCUUUUGUAUGUAGUGCAUGGCCUCCGGGAAGUGAGUGGGUUGACUUUUCUGAUUAAUUUCGAUAACUAGCGAGACCUCGAUGUGGUUAACUAUUAUAUAUUAUUUCGAUAGUAAUAUAAUUCUUACACAGACAAACGGUGUUGUAACCGUAGGAAGUGCGAGGUGAUGGAAGGUCCGUGAUGCUCUCAGAUGUUCUGGGCCGCACGCGCGCUACACUGAUAUAUACAGACAGUUAUAUUAUUAUACUUGUUAUAAUAUUCCAUUAUCGUGAGGUAUUGGUAAUCUAUGAAA
rnacentral:rRNA from 1 species